rnacentral:rRNA from 1 species
AACGAACGCUGGCGGCAGGCUUAACACAUGCAAGUCGAGCGAGACCUUCGGGUCUAGCGGCGGACGGGUGAGUAACGCGUGGGAACGUGCCCCUCUCUACGGAAUAGCCCCGGGAAACUGGGAGUAAUACCGUAUACGCCCUUUGGGGGAAAGAUUUAUCGGAGAAGGAUCGGCCCGCGUUGGAUUAGGUAGUUGGUGGGGUAAUGGCCCACCAAGCCGACGAUCCAUAGCUGGUUUGAGAGGAUGAUCAGCCACACUGGGACUGAGACACGGCCCAGACUCCUACGGGAGGCAGCAGUGGGGAAUCUUAGACAAUGGGGGCAACCCUGAUCUAGCCAUGCCGCGUGAGUGAUGAAGGCCUUAGGGUUGUAAAGCUCUUUCAGCUGGGAAGAUAAUGACGGUACCAGCAGAAGAAGCCCCGGCUAACUCCGUG